rnacentral:rRNA from 1 species
ACGGGUGAGUAACGCGUGGGAAUCUACCCUUUUCUACGGAAUAACGCAGGGAAACUUGUGCUAAUACCGUAUGUGUCCUUCGGGAGAAAGAUUUAUCGGGAAAGGAUGAGCCCGCGUUGGAUUAGCUAGUUGGUGGGGUAAAGGCCUACCAAGGCGACGAUCCAUAGCUGGUCUGAGAGGAUGAUCAGCCACAUUGGGACUGAGACACGGCCCAAACUCCUACGGGAGGCAGCAGUGGGGAAUAUUGGACAAUGGGCGCAAGCCUGAUCCAGCCAUGCCGCGUGAGUGAUGAAGGCCCUAGGGUUGUAAAGCUCUUUCACCGGAGAAGAUAAUGACGGUAUCCGGAGAAGAAGCCCCGGCUAACUUCGUGCCAGCAGCCGCGGUAAUACGAAGGGGGCUAGCGUUGUUCGGAAUUACUGGGCGUAAAGCGCACGUAGGCGGAUCGAUCAGUCAGGGGUGAAAUCCCAGGGCUCAACCCUGGAACUGCCUUUGAUACUGUCGAUCUGGAGUAUGGAAGAGGUGAGUGGAAUUCCGGGUGUAGAGGUGAAAUUCGUAGA